UACGUAGGGGGCAAGCGUUGUUCGGAAUUACUGGGCGUAAAGGGCGCGUAGGCGGCCCGGCAAGUCGGGAGUGAAAGCCCGGGGCUCAACCCCGGAACGUCUUUCGAAACUGCCGAGCUAGAGUGCGGAAGGGGCAACUGGAAUUCCCAGUGUAGCGGUGAAAUGCGUAGAUAUUGGGAAGAACACCUGAGGCGAAGGCGGGUUGCUGGGCCGACACUGACGCUGAGGCGCGAAAGCCAGGGGAGCGAACGGG
rnacentral:rRNA from 1 species